rnacentral:rRNA from 1 species
GGCGGCGUGCCUAAUACAUGCAAGUAGAACGCUGAAGCUUGGUGCUUGCACCGAGCGGAUGAGUUGCGAACGGGUGAGUAACGCGUAGGUAACCUGCCUGGUAGCGGGGGAUAACUAUUGGAAACGAUAGCUAAUACCGCAUAAGAGUAGAUGUUGCAUGACAUUUGCUUAAAAGGUGCAAUUGCAUCACUACCAGAUGGACCUGCGUUGUAUUAGCUAGUUGGUGAGGUAACGGCUCACCACGGCGACGAUACAUAGCCGACCUGAGAGGGUGAUCGGCCACACUGGGACUGAGACACGGCCCAGACUCCUACGGGAGGCAGCAGUAGGGAAUCUUCGGCAAUGGACGGAAGUCUGACCGAGCAACGCCGCGUGAGUGAAGAAGGUUUUCGGAUCGUAAAGCUCUGUUGUAAGAGAAGAAACGAGUGUGAGAGUGGAAAGUUUC